UAGGGAAUCUUCGGCAAUGGACGAAAGUCUGACCGAGCAACGCCGCGUGAGUGAAGAAGGUUUUCGGAUCGUAAAACUCUGUUGUUAGAGAAGAACAAGGACGUUAGUAACUGAACGUCCCCUGACGGUAUCUAACCAGAAAGCCACGGCUAACUACGUGCCAGCAGCCGCGGUAAUACGUAGGUGGCAAGCGUUGUCCGGAUUUAUUGGGCGUAAAGCGAGCGCAGGCGGUUUCUUAAGUCUGAUGUGAAAGCCCCCGGCUCAACCGGGGAGGGUCAUUGGAAACUGGGAGACUUGAGUGCAGAAGAGGAGAGUGGAAUUCCAUGUGUAGCGGUGAAAUGCGUAGAUAUAUGGAGGAACACCAGUGGCGAAGGCGGCUCUCUGGUCUGUAACUGACGCUGAGUCUCGAAAGCGUGGGGAGCAAACAGG
rnacentral:rRNA from 2 species